UUUUGGACAAUGGGGGAAACCCUGAUCCAGCCAUGCCGCGUGCGGGAAGAAGGCCUUCGGGUUGUAAACCGCUUUUGUCAGGGAAGAAACGCUCUGGGUUAAUACCCUGGGGUAAUGACGGUACCUGAAGAAUAAGCACCGGCUAACUACGUGCCAGCAGCCGCGGUAAAACGUAGGACGCAAGCGUUAUCCGGAGUUACUGGGCGUAAAGCGCGGGCAGGCGGUGAUUUAAGUCUGAUGUGAAAGCUCCCGGCUCAACCGGGAGAGGCCAUUGGAAACUAAAUCGCUGGAGGGCAGUAGAGGUAGGCGGAAUUCCGGGUGGAGUGGUGAAAUGCGUAGAGAUCCGGAGGAACACCAGAGGCGAAGGCGGCCUACUGGGCUGCACCUGACGCUGAGCCGCGAAAGCCAGGGGAGCGAAC
rnacentral:rRNA from 1 species